GGAGUAAUGCGUGACCAACCUGCCCCAUGCUCCAGAAUAGCUCUUGGAAACGGGUGGUAAUGCUGGAUGCUCCAACUUGACGCAUGUCUUGUUGGGAAAGUGUUUAGUGGCAUGGGAUGGGGUCGCGUCCUAUCAGCUUGUAGGCGGGGUAAUGGCCCACCUAGGCUUCGACGGGUAGCCGGCCUGAGAGGGCGGACGGCCACAUUGGGACUGAGAUACGGCCCAGACUCCUACGGGAGGCAGCAGCU
rnacentral:rRNA from 1 species